UGAUGUAAUCCUAGAUGCCUCUGUAGCUCAUAGAGAAUGGUGUUUCCUACUGCGUGCCCUGUGGAACACUGCUACAAAAUAUUAGAUGUUCUAAAAAAAAAAUAAUCUGUUCCAUGGAAAUUAUGCUGUAAACAAAUUCCAUAGGGUUCCAUACACAGUGUGCAAUGUGAGCCUCCUCUAAGAGGGUGAUAUAAUUAGACAGCAUUAUCCCCGGAUGUGGCUCCAGAAUUAUGCUCUCUCCCCACUCCAGAGGACAUGAGGACGUGGCACGUAGAAUUACACAGAAGACAGUCUGGGAUACAUUGACAGAGACAGAAGAUUCUGCACUUUGGCAGUCUGGUUGGGAGGCACGCAAGUACCUCACACAGAAGGAAUAGCUCUUCAGGAGUGGUCUUGCAGUGCUCAGCGUGAAAACCCACAUGACAAUUGGACAGGCAAUCACAUU
rnacentral:lncRNA from 13 species